CCUACGGGACAGCAGUGGGGAAUAUUGCACAAUGGGGGAAACCCUGAUGCAGCAACGCCGCGUGAGUGAAGAAGUAUUUCGGUAUGUAAAGCUCUAUCAGCAGGGAAGAAGAUGACGGUACCUGAUUAAGAAGCCCCGACUAACUACGUGCCAGCAGCCGCGGUAAUACGUAGGGGGCAAGCGUUAUCCGGAUUUACUGGGUGUAAAGGGAGCGCAGACGGCAGUGCAAGUCUGGAGUGAAAGCCCGGGGCCCAACCCCUGGACUGCUCUGGAAACUGUCCGGCUGGAGUGCAGGAGAGGUAAGG
rnacentral:rRNA from 1 species